UCCCUGGUGGCUCAGUGGUAAAGCAUCUGCCUGCAAUGCAGGAGACAUGGGUUCGAUUCCUGGGUUGGGAA
rnacentral:tRNA from 1 species